UCAGUUGUUUUGAAAUAAAGCUGAAAUAAAGUAAAAGGGAAGAACAGGAGGUUUGAGUAGUUGAAUUUUUUUUUUGUUCGGAUUUGUUUUGUUUUCCAGUUGAUGACUUCACCCAUCCAUUGGAUUGGGAGGGUACAGACCUUGAGGAAAUGUGUAGAAACAACCCAAACGAUCUGCAAUUCUGAGGUACUGUAGCCUAUUUCUGUCAACUACUUACAUCUUCCCUAGACGGCAGAAUCAUCCCUUAGGUUAAUUUGUGACAUACUUAAUUUUUCCUCCCCCUUUUUUUUGUGUAGAACUCGGGUUUUACUUUGUAUUUUCUUAAGACAUAAGGUAAUUUAGGGACCUUAAACAGACAUCUUCAUAACUGAAUUGUCACAUACAUUCAUGAAUUACAUGACUAAUUCCCUUGUUAGACCUUAUCCUUCCUAGCUACAUAUAAUGUCAAUCCUCUGUUUGCAGCACGUUUUCAUAAAUCAAAGAAAUUCUAAUAUUGAUAAAGGAGAAUGAGUUGAUGUGUGUCUGGGGUGUAACUCAGUUUUGUAAAUGCCUUUACUUUUUAAAAGACUGGUUAGAAAGAAGGGUUGGAUGUUGUUGUGGGGGAGGAUUGGAGAUUUUAGUGUCCAUUUGGCGCCCUUCCAUCUCAAGCUAAUCCCUAUUUUUCUUGCCAGCCCAUUCAGUAGCCCCCAACCUUCCACUGUUUUCCUUCUGUCUUAUUUUUAUUUGAACUUCCCUCUUCUCCUCCUCCCCAGCCAUUAUAUUGCCCAGAUAAGUCACCGCAUGGCAGCUAGCUUCUCUGUUGGGAGAUUGUGUUUGGCGCUGGCGUGGCACCGCAGUCCCCAUUCACUCGCGGUAACCACCCCCGUUGGCUGCUGCCCUGCGCCAAGCCAUCCAUUUAUCCAGAUCUUAAAAACAAACAAACAGCUAAAAAAAGCGAUGUCUCUUGUUUCAGAGGUUUCUGAGGAGCCAGGCAGAGGAUGUGGUUAUCCCAGAUUGUAAAAGACCUGUCUAGGAGAAAAAUACAUGCAGGAUAGCCCUAUGAGUUUCAAAUUAGUUGUUAUUUGGAUCUUUUCUUCCUUGUCCUCAUGAUUAGCUAAAAGUAAUCAAGCUCCAUUUACAAUCAUAUAAAAUCCCAUAUGGACCAUAUGAAAUGCCAACCUAUUUGACAACAUUCAGACGCUCAAAAAGUUAACAAUAUCUGUCUUGUCUGGCUAUAUGGACCAAUUUUUAACCAAACCUAAUUUAAAUAGUACCGGGAGAUCUCAGUGUUUGCUCGGCUGGCAUGUCACAGGAUGCUGCUGUAAUAGAGCCAUCUCUGGGAUUUCUAAGCCUGCCAGGUGGGAGUAUGCGGGAGACUUCAUUUAGCUGCAUUAUGUCAGUGGUGCAGCAAGUUGCCUGCCUGUCCUGAGAGGCUGCAGUCCUUCGCUUAAGCUCUUCAAGCUUUUCUCAGUUUUUCAGUGUGGAAUUGCUGCUGCUUGUUAGUGCCAGCCAGCCCACGAAAGCCAGAUCCUAGCUGAAGCUCUCUGAAUAUGUUGCCUUUGUAUUCUGUAUUUGAUUUCCCGUUCUUGUUCAAACAAGUUUUGCUAGAAGUUAGUAAGUGGAGAACAAAAAAGGAAGUUGCAAUGUAGAUUUAUUAAUAAACUGGUGGAAUUAGUGGGUUAAAUAUCUUCAUAUUAGCCAAUCAUUUCCUUUGGAGUUAAUAGUUAUGGGGAAAAAAGUCUCUAUUUAUCUUUUUAAGCUUCAUUUAUUCAUGUUCUUUAGUAUAGGACCUGUAGUUGUCCUAAGAAUGUCAUAAAUGCAAGAUCCUGAUGCGCUAAAUUUUUGUGAUUAGCGAUCUUUAGUUACAUGCAGAUAUCUCUGUAAUGAUUUCAAGUCAGCUUGCACCUCUGUGUCUUUUCACUCCAGAGGUAAAGGUGGAAAACUUGAAGCAGGAGACUGUUGUGUUUUGGAAGGAUCAGAUCCUACUACCAAGUCAUCAGCCAGGUGGCUGCCAACUCUUUUUAAGCUUUUUAAUCAUGGUCAGUUUUGGAAAUGGAUGGUAUUGAUAUCAUAAUUUCAUUUGUCUUAAUUAUAGCAGAUUGAAAGGUGAAACUUAUGGAGCAAGGACUAUCUUAAAACUUUUUGUUAGUUGGUAAUAGUAAAGAAUUUUGCCACAACUUGUUAGGUCUAAAAGUGGUGAUAUCAAAAGAAGGCAGGAAGGAAUUGCUUAGGUUAGAGCUUCAUCUUACAAUUACUGAAUUACUUGUUCAAAUAAUCUAAAUAAAGAAGUCUCCUGUUAUCAUAUUACGAUACAUGCUGGGCAGAAAAAAUAAAUCCUUUGGAACAGGAACCAACAGAGAUUUUAAAAGGAAAUGCUUGGAUUUCAGUUUAAUAAAAACUCUUAAAAACUUAGCUGUAUAAUGAGUUAUAGCUUCUCUUUCGGUAAUAACCGUGUUAUGCUUUUACUAAUGUUCAGUAUUUUUGCUCCUUGCAUCUUCAAGGCUUUUGGGGAAGUAUUUACUGGUGAGUAUUAACUGUUCCCCCUGCUUAUUGACAGGGAAACUGUGAAUUUUCCAGCGCUGGAGAAAGGGACUCUGCAUCUUGACCACAAUUAAGUGUCAUAAAAUGUUUUCUAGCCCAUGUGUCCUUUUCAUCGGUGUAAUGCAGGGCAAUCAAACUUCAGUGUGUAGAUUUAUACAUGUUCAGGUUAAACGUUAACAUUAGGAAAAAAAAUCAAAAUGCAAACCACUCUCAUGCAUUUAUUCUGAAAUGUAUCGCCGUCCUUGGAUAUUCAUGCAGGAACCAAAAUAUGUGGUGAUCUUAUCAAAUUUGAAAUGCCUAUUUUAUCUAGUAAGUCUAAGUAACUGUCUUUUCCAUUUCUCUCAACUACUUUUUAGCAUAGAUGGCUUGUGAAGAGAACCACAGAGAACUGAACCACACAUUUGAAACUUACCUAUAAUCAGAAAAGUUUGUUUAUUUUUGUGUUUUGAUUUUUUUUUUUUUUGGUGGGUUUCCCAGACUGACCACAAGCAGAGCACAGGAUCGCUUUGGCUGAAGGAAAUUAAAAAACAAGAGGUAACUCUAGGUCAACGUUCUACUUUGUAACCCAUAGUUGCCUUUAGUAUUAGGUGCAGCAUCUAGCUUAAAUACUUAUUUCACUGAUGACUUCUUUCUUUAGCAAAUUUUUGCAGCAAGAAAAACAAGUAUAUGAGAAAUUACAUUUGAUAAACGGAGUAUUCAUAAAAUUUAUCUACAAGGCUUUGCAUUCUUAUAGCUAUUCAAAACUAUAGCAAUUCUUUUUUCUUCAGAAUAUACCUGACGUUUUGUUUGAUCCAAAAUUACCCACAAUUUUAAUGGACAGUUUCAGCUCAUAAAUAUUUUCUCCUGACAGCCUGAUUCACAAAAUGAGGGAGAAGUCAUGCUUUUCCAUCUUCUUCAUGCUAUGCUCUGAUGGUCAGAGCACUUGCCAGUCAGGGGGGAAAUCAGCAGUCAAGUCUUCUGCGGUCGGAUCUGAACUCCUGUUGCCUGUAUCCCAUGCGCUCUUAAUUCUGUGUUUUGCAUCAGGCAGGGCCUGAGCCUCUCACGUUCAAGUGACCUCUCGUUCUUUAACAAGCUGAACUUUGGCAAGACGAAAAGCAUGUUGGUCGUGUUGCCUGUGCAACCUUCAGGCCGAAGGGGAGGGAUACUACAGGCUGCUUCAGCAUCACUGUGGUUCUGAAUAUGGAGAUUGGGUGUUUGCCAGUUGUCUUCUAAGCACAUUGAAGAAUUUUGACUCUAUUCAAGCCGGUGCAGGUGGCCCAGUCCGUCAGCAGGAGCUCUCUCUCCUGGUAGGCAGCUGCGCCGUCGGUGACUGCUGGACGCGUCGAUCCUUUGGCAGUCCUGCUGCGUUCCUCAGAGUCUUCUAGGGAUGAGCUGCACAAGUGGGGACCGCGCUGACCCACCACCAUUGCUCCAGGAUGGUGCCAAAGUCCAUUUUUACAUGCAUAUACUUUGGAGGGUUAAAUGCUAGCAAUUGGAUGAGAAAGAAAAGACUUCUGUGAUGAAAGCGCUGGCCUGAAGCUCAGGAGAUCUGGACUCAGUUUCUGGCUCCAUAGCAGGCCCUUCGUGUGGCCUAGAACAGCCAGCGGUUUGCAAGCAGGUGUGCAGGCAGCUGCCGCGGGCCUCUCCUCUCCAGCAAGGAGCCGUUCCUGCACGUUUAUGUAUUCCUAAAGCCCCAGCGAUACCCUUCUCAGCUCAAAACCUGUCUUACUGCAUCUCCCAGUAUCUCCUCCAGGUUUCUCCUGCUCUUGGCGGCUGUGUAAAUGGAGGCAGUCACAGCCGUGUCCCUAGUAAGGUGCUCAAAGAGGACAGAAACUUUUAGUGAAUCAGAUCCAAGGGCUAUAUUUCAUCAUGCUCAAGGCAGACUUUAUCAAAAGGGAUCAUUUGUAUUGGCAGUCUUUCAAAGGCUACCCUGUAACUGUGCUCAAAUCAGGUUGUGAACUACACAUUUAACUGAAUUAGGCAGCCAACCUGCAGUUCAGCAGCCAAAGUGAUCUCCAUCAUGAAGGUGCUGCAGACCUCUGCCAGACAUCAGGCGUGGAUUUAAGAAAAGAAAUGGCAGUGCUUAUUUGCACUUCUUUUACAAAAUAAACUGUGUGGGUGAAUCCCAUAAACAAAACACCAGUUCUAGAAAAUAAUACUGACAUUAAGUUUACCCUCACUGGGUAUUUAGACCCUUGGUUAUGUGAGUGAGACAGUUGUACCUUUUGGUACUCUCAUUCCAGGGUUUCUGCAGUCUCAUCAGUUACGUUUGCGUGGGAAAUGGGGAGUUUAGCGGGGAAGGGGUUUUGAGACUUUUACUGCAAUUAUAACAAUGAGAGACGUUCUUUAUAUUCCUUUCCUUUUUUGAUUGUUUUUGGGUUUUUUUUUCCCUUUAAUGGAAGUUCAGUAAAGGAUUCAGGGGGAGGCUUCAGCAGUAAGAUUCAUUGGCCAUUUCUGGGCCCUGAUCUUGCAGAUUCGAAAGCCUAUUCCAGACUGCUCCAACAAAUAAUUAGAAACGCAGAGUUUUGUUUCCCUGGGGCUCAGUCCCUGGAAGGAGAUGCAUCUGCCCUGGAGUCCCAGAUACUGUUUCAGCGUGGGUUUUAGCCACGUGCAUCUGGUUGCAAGGGUGGAAUCAAGUAUGUUACAAAUGUCUGUCUUUCCUAUUUCUGAAAAGAAUAAUGUAAUAGAGGGAACAAACUUUUUUUUUUUUUUAAAUCCGUUUCACACGGGGGAGACUUCAGCUUAAGCCUAAGAUUCUUCUGAUGGGGAAAAAAAAUGUCAAACAUACUAAGCUGCUAAAAUUUUAUUUCUUUUAUUUUUGCAAAAAAAAAAAGUGUGUAUUUAAUAUGGCACUGUAAAGCUGAGAAUCCUCUUUCUCCUGAUAUCUCCAGUCUUUCUUCCUGAGCAGUAAUUUUCUGAAACGUACCAUUUUGCCUGGUCUGUCACUGAUUGAUUGUUAGUUAUUCUGAAAAUGUCCUCUUUGUGUCUAAAGGGAUUUGGUCUGGCUGCCUGACAGGAGGCUGCAAACACCAGCCCCCUGCUCUCGGUCUGCUGCAUGACUUGGGCUGUGCCAGCGCUGAGCCCAGACUUCUCCUUACCAGUGAAGGGAGGACCAGAGGCCACAUGACAGAUCCCUUGUAGAAAUCCAGUGGGAGCUUCAUUGCACUUAAAAAUCUGAUCACCGAGGACCAGAUCCAGAAAGGAAUUUUGGCACCUAAAUCCUUCUGCUUCAAACUCCAUCUAGCUGCUGCUCAAGUUUGCAGGACUUGGCCUUAAAUGCAUAUCCUGACCCACCUGCAAAGAAUCUGGUGUACAACUGUUGUGCUGCUAAUCUCUUGACUUGCAUGAGAGAAGAUUCAAAUUGAGGAAUUUUUCCAGUUGAAGGGUUGUUCCUGUGCAUUGGAGUUAUACGGUGCCCUGGUGUGCUUGCUGAGGGGUGGUGGUAACAGGCCCCUGAAAAUGAUAUGGCCCAGCAAUUCAGGCCCCCAUGCUCUUCCAGAAGACUACUCCAGGGACAGGAGCUAUGCCAGGCCUGACUGAGCACGUCCAGCCACCAUGUCCAUCAGCCUCAGAGCUCACAUGUCCGCAGCGGGAGAAACCCUGCACUGACCUGAGGCUGAGCAGGUUGCUGCAGUGAAUGUAACAGGGGGCUCAGCUUGCCUCUCUUGCCCUGCGGACAUGAGGAUCUCUAGCUCAAGUAACAUGAUAAGCUUGGCCUGUCCGGAAGCAUAGCUUGGAGUUCAUGUGUUCCUGAUGCUCAAACCAAUAAUAAUAGUGAGGUAAGGACUGCUCCCUUCUGCUAAUACAACUACUUGUGUAGUUUGAAUACUGCUUUGCAGCAUGUCUGCCUUUACUCGAGUUAACGCCUCUUCCGUUCUCGCGGUAACUCUGCUACCCUAUCUACAGUGUAGACAAUUCUACCGGUGAAUUACCUCCACAGUAAAGACAAAAUUUGGUAUUUCUAUGCCACUUUGAAAGUGUCUUCAGAGCAGUGCUGUACUCCCUGUCCAUCUCCCACCCGCACCGUUGCCCCAUGAGCCACUGGCCGGCUGCACCUUGGCAGCCUCAGGUGCUGGAGGCCACGUGCUCUGAGGGAACAGCUCAGGCCACCUCUUCACCCCCGCUCGCACGCUGCCAUCUGACUGACAAGAGAGCUGGACAGGGCUGCCCUUAACAUGUAACUUAGAUUUAGCCGGUGUUGUUUCCAAUAGCUUUUCUCAGCAAGGUAAGCAACAUCAACACUUGUUUAAUAUCUUACUGUUCUUUUCUUCAGAGGCUUAUUAAAUAUGCCCUUUAUGAAUUUUAUGAGCUUAACAUCAAAGUACAUUUUAAAUCCCUCCAUAAAUAAAUAAAACAGUAGUACUGAGGAAUAUUAGCUAAGGGAAUCUGCGGUGACGUUUGUUCAUUUCUCUAUACCUUCUGCCAGUGCAAAACUUCAGGCAUCCCCCAGCAGGACUGGCUGGCCCAGAAGCACAGCCGCAAAAAUUUCAGUUCCCUUUCCUAUCCUAAAGGGAGUGGUGGUUGGCCAACUUAUUUAGCUAACUAUUUUGAUAUGUUUCUGAACUUCCAGUACACAGGUAUCUCUGUGUAAGUCAGCAUGACUACUGAAAAUACCAGAAUGUUUUGCUAGUCAGAGCUAGGCCAACUGGAAAAAAGAGUCACUGAAUCAGCCCUUAGCCAAGGUAGCCUACACCAAAGAGCUCAGAUGGGGUCUCUAUUAAAAAUAGAGCAAUUAUGCCCUGAAAGUUAAUAUUUCUGUGCUAUUAGGUGCAAGGUACAGUUUCUACUUCCUACUGUCUAUAAAGUGAAUCUAACUUUUAUUCUGAGACUAGCUGCCCUCUCUGUUUUUCCUUGAGUAGCUGCCAAAUGAGAAUAGCUCAGAAAAGAUCAGUUUUAUUCGGUUCCAAGUUUGCUCUGCUAAAAGCUAUUUUGGCUAAAUGGGAGGAUUCCUAAGACCUUCUGACAUUUCCUUACCAUGAUCAUUCUGUCUCACAUAAAAUAAUAGUAGCACAAGGGGAGGCAUGCAUCAGUUGUUCCAACAAGCAAAGUCUGCACUUUGGUCAGUCAAAUCGUCACUAAAGCGAGCAGACUUCUUUCAAAUCACUCAAUCUAGACAUAAAAUAGAAAACUAAUAUGCCCAAUAAAGUUAUCAGGUACUAUUAUUAUUACAGUCCAAAGUGCCUGAAUGGAAAAGAAAGUCACGAAGCCAUUUGUGUACUCCUCUGUGUAUGCUGUCAUCAUUUCUACAGCGCUUUGCACCGCUCUGAGCACAUGGUUGACACUAGGGACUUUUAUAGGUGUGUGAAACCCACUCAAAUGAUAAAAGUGUUUUGUUUGCAUACCGUUAAAGAUCCCUAGUAACUAAUAUGCUUUCCAUAGAUUUUUUUUUUCCAGGAACGUGAUUAAUCUUGGAACAAAUACAAAUGAGACAAACUUUUGUCAUGUACUUAUCUGCUGCAUGGGAUUUGCAUUUAAAGUUAAAAGGGCUAGGAGCUAUAUCCUCAUAUGCACUCCGGGACUAUUCUGAUGCACAUUAAAGAGUUUCCACACAUGGACAGUAUCCAGAAAGACAGCAGUAGCUCUGUUGCAUGAUCUGUCUAGACAACAAAGAAAGGAUUGCUAGUGAAAUCGUUUCUGAAGAAUAAGUUACUAGCCUACUGGGAGAAAGCCAUCCCAGUGUUACAUGCCUAUGGAACAAUUUUCUUUGCACGUAUAUUGUGUGCAACGAUAGCAUUCAGGUCCUGAGGUUUUAAGAUCUUAAUCGUGACCGCUACCUCCACAACCAGUACAAUUUUUUACUUAGUUGUUCUGUUUCUAGUUUUGAAAUGUUAUGGGUUAUGUGGUAUACCUAGAAAGAGAAAUGGGCUUCCACUGGGUAAGUACUGGAGGAGUGAGGUAGAGACUUCUUCAGCUUGUACUUUGAUAACACAGCUUGAAGACCAAAGAGCUUGGCCAGAUGAGGCAAAGAACUGAAAAGGAAAGGGAGAAGUAUUAUCACCACUCUCCUGGAGGGACUGCAGAGAGAACCUGAGCUAUAUUUAGUUUUACCCUCAAGUCACCUUACUGUUGAAAUUACAUCCUGUGCAUUUCAUCUUAACAAUAGUUCACAUACAUGCAACAUUUUAAUAUAAAAAGGGCCUUUUUCUGUUUUUAUAGAAAUUUAUUCGGUCACCUCUAAAAUACAAAAAAGAAUAACUUUGAAAUAUAUUUCCUGCAUAGCUCUUGCUUACCUAAAAAAAUUCCUGCUUCUAGGAUCACCCUAUACACUUAGAAAUGUUGCUAUCUACAGAGGAUUUUAUCGGGUGUUAAGCACUGGGUGUACUGGCCAAGUACACAGAGGGUACAUAGCAUGCAAAAUAAUCACAGUCUCAGGUGAAAUACUGGCACUGCUAUUUACUAUUUUUAGGCAGCCGGGUUAUAUCACUGCAUAAUCACGAACAUGAGAGUGACCAAGAAGGCCAGUGGUAUCCUGGGGUGCACUAGGAAGACUGGCCAGCAGGUGGAGGGAGGUGAUCCUGCCCCUCUC